rnacentral:rRNA from 1 species
CAGGCCUAACACAUGCAAGUCGAACGAGAAAGUGGAGCAAUCCAUGAGUAAAGUGGCGCACGGGUGAGUAACACGUGACUAACCUACCCUCGAGUGGGGAAUAACCUCGGGAAACCGGGGCUAACACCGCAUAAUAUCUACGGAUCAAAUGCGUAAGCAGCUUGAGGAGGGGGUCGCGGCUGAUUAGCUAGUUGGCGGGGUAAUGGCCCACCAAGGCAGUGAUCAGUAGCCGGCCUGAGAGGGCGCACGGCCACACUGGAACUGAAACACGGUCCAGACUCCUACGGGAGGCAGCAGUGGGGAAUUUUGCGCAAUGGGGGAAACCCUGACGCAGCAACGCCGCGUGGAGGAUGACGCCCCUUGGGGUGUAAACUCCUUUCGAUCGGGACGAUUAUGACGGUACCGGAAGAAGAAGCACCGGCUAACUCUGUGCCAGCAGCCGCGGUAAUACA